GGGGAGUACGGUCGCAAGAUUAUAACUCAAAUGAAUUGACGGGGGCCCGCACAAGCGGUGGAGCAUGUGGUUUAAUUCGACGCAACGCGAAGAACCUUACCUACUCUCGACAUCCAGAGAACUUUCCAGAGAUGGAUUGGUGCCUUCGGGAACUCUGAGACAGGUGCUGCAUGGCCGUCGUCAGCUCGUGUUGUGAAAUGUUGGGUUAAGUCCCGCAACGAGCGCAACCCUUAUCCUUGUUUGCCAGCGAGUAAUGUCGGGAACUCCAGGGAGACUGCCGGUGAUAAACCGGAGGAAGGUGGGGACGACGUCAAGUCAUCAUGGCCCUUACGAGUAGGGCUACACACGUGCUACAAUGGCGCAUACAGAGGGCGGCCAACUUGCGAAAGUGAGCGAAUCCCAAAAAGUGCGUCGUAGUCCGGAUUGGAGUCUGCAACUCGACUCCAUGAAGUCGGAAUCGCUAGUAAUCGUGGAUCAGAAUGCCCCGGUGAAUACGUUCCCGGGCCUUGUACACACCGCCCGUGCACACCAUGGGAGUGGGCUGCAAAAG
rnacentral:rRNA from 1 species